GAUGAACGCUGGCGGCGUGCCUAAUACAUGCAAGUCGAGCGAACGGACGAGAAGCUUGCUCCUCUGACGUUAGCGGCGGACGGGUGAGUAACACGUGGAUAACCUACCUAUAAGACUGGGAUAACUUCGGGAAACCGGAGCUAAUACCGGAUAAUAUAUUGAACCGCAUGGUUCAAUAGUGAAAGACGGUUUUGCUGUCACUUAUAGAUGGAUCCGCGCUGCAUUAGCUAGUUGGUAAGGUAACGGCUUACCAAGGCGACGAUGCCUAGCCGACCUGAGAGGGGGAUCCGCCACAAUGGAACUGGGAAACGGUCCAAGCUCCUAAGGGAGGCAGCAGUUGGGAAAUUUGCGCAAUGGGCGGAAGGCUGACCGAGCCAUCCCGCGUGGGUGAAGAAGGGCUUCGGGUUGGAAAACCCUUUUUUUGGGGAAGAAAAAAAUGUGUAAGUAACCAUGCUCUUCUGAAGGUACCCAAAGAAGAAGACCCGGCUAAAUUCGUG
rnacentral:rRNA from 1 species